rnacentral:rRNA from 1 species
GUCUAUGGCCAUGCCACCCUGAACACGCCCAAUCUCGUCUCAUCUCAGAAGCUAAGCAGGGUGGGGCCUGGUUAGCACUUGGAUGGGAGACCAUCUAGGAAGACCAGGUGCUGUACGCU